CCAGACUCCUACGGGAGGCAGCAGUGGGGAAUAUUGGGCAAUGGGCGCAAGCCUGACCCAGCAACGCCGCGUGAAGGAAGAAGGCUUUCGGGUUGUAAACUUCUUUUAUCAGGGACGAUACAAAUGACGGUACCUGAUGAAUAAGCCACGGCUAACUACGUGCCAGCAGCCGCGGUAAUACGUAGGUGGCAAGCGUUAUCCGGAUUUACUGGGUGUAAAGGGCGUGUAGGCGGGACUGCAAGUCAGAUGUGAAACCCAUGGGCUCAACCCAUGGCCUGCAUUUGAAACUGUAGUUCUUGAGUGAUGGAGAGGCAGGCGGAAUUCCGUGUGUAGCGGUGAAAUGCGUAGAUAUACGGAGGAACACCAGUGGCGAAGGCGGAUUGCUGGACAGUAACUGACGCUGAGGCGCGAAAGCGUGGGGAGCAAACAGGAUUAGAUACCCCGGUACAA
rnacentral:rRNA from 1 species